AAGUCGCAACAAGGUUUCCGUAGGUGAACCUGCGGAAGGAUCAUUACAUUCAGUAGCCUAGCUACUUGUUUAUACCCUUGUUUUUGCGUACCUAUUGUUUCCUCGGCGGGCUUGCUCGCCGGUUGGACAAAACUAUAACCUUUUUUAAAUCUUCAAUCAGCGUCUGAAUUAUACAUAAUAAUUACAACUUUCAACAACGGAUCUCUUGGUUCUG
rnacentral:misc_RNA from 1 species